GAUCCUGGCUCAGGAUGAACGCUAGCUACAGGCUUAACACAUGCAAGUCGCGGGGCAGCAUGAAGGAUGCUUGCAUCCUUUGAUGGCGACCGGCGCACGGGUGAGUAACGCGUAUCCAACCUGCCUGUUACCACGGCACAGCCCGUCGAAAGGCGGAUUAAUGCCGUAUGUCGUCUUGAAAGGGCAUCUGAUCAUGACUAAAGGUUCAGCGGUAACGGAUGGGAUGCG
rnacentral:rRNA from 1 species